UACGGAGGGUGCAAGCGUUGUCCGGAUUUAUUGGGUUUAAAGGGUGCGUAGGCGGUCCAUUAAGUCUGGGGUGAAAGCCCGUUGCUCAACAACGGAACUGCCCUGGAAACUGGCGGACUUGAGUACAGACGAGGGUGGCGGAAUGGAUGCUGUAGCGGUGAAAUGCAUAGAUAGCAUCCAGAACCCCGAUUGCGAAGCAGCUGCCUAGACUGUAACUGACGCUGAGGCACGAAAGCGUGGGGAGCGAACAGG
rnacentral:rRNA from 1 species